rnacentral:rRNA from 1 species
GAGGAAUAUUGGUCAAUGGACGGAAGUCUGAACCAGCCAUGCCGCGUGAAGGAUGAAGGCGUUCUGCGUUGAAAACUUCUUUUAUCUGGGAAGAAACCACAGAUCUCUAUCUGUGUCGACGGUACCAGUGGAACAAGCACCGGCUAACUCCGUGCCAGCAGCCGCGGUAAUACGGAGGGUGCGAGCGUUAUCCGGAUUUACUGGGUUUAAAGGGUGCGUAGGCGGGCUAUUAAGUCAGAGGUGAAAUCUCCGGGCUCAACCUGGAAACUGCCUUUGAUACUAGUAGCCUUGAAUUAUGUUGAGGUUAGCGGAAUAUAACAUGUAGCGGUGAAAUGCUUAGAUAUGUUAUGGAACACCGAUUGCGAAGGCAGCUGGCUAAACAUAUAUUGACGCUGAUGCACGAAAGCGUGGGUAGCGAACA